UACGUAGGCAGCAAGCGUUGUUCGGAGUUACUGGGCGUAAAGAGUGUGUAGGCGGUUCUCUAAGUUUGGUGUGAAAUCUCCCGGCUCAACUGGGAGGGUGCGCCGAAAACUGGAGAGCUUGAGUAUGGGAGAGGAAAGCGGAAUUCCUGGUGUAGCGGUGAAAUGCGUAGAUAUCAGGAGGAACACCUGUGGUGUAGACGGCUUUCUGGACCAUCACUGACGCUGAGACACGAAAGCGUGGGGAGCAAACAGG
rnacentral:rRNA from 1 species